GGGCGAUUAGCUCAGUUGGUUCAGAGCGCUUGUUUGACAGACAAGAGGUCAGUCCCGAAGGUUCGGGACUAUCGCCCACCU
rnacentral:tRNA from 1 species